rnacentral:sRNA from 1 species
AUGAAAUUCGCCUUGCGGCGAGUGAAAUCUGCCUUCGGCAGGUGAAAUUUGCCUGCGGCAAGUGAAAUC